rnacentral:rRNA from 1 species
UACGUAGGUGACAAGCGUUAUCCGGAAUUACUGGGCGUAAAGCGCACGCAGGCGGUGCGGUAAGUCUGAUGUGAAAUCUCCUGGCUUAACUGGGAGGGGUCAUUGGAAACUGCCGUACUUGAGGCGAUGAGAGGGGUGUAGAAUUCCCGGUGUAGUGGUGGAAUGCGUAGAUAUCGGGAGGAAUACCAGUGGCGAAAGCGACACCCUGGCAUUAGCCUGACGCUCAGGUGCGAAGGCGUGGGGAGCGAACGGG